GGGAGGUAGGAGAGUUGAGGGAGGAGAGGUAGGAGAGUUGAGGGAGGAGCGGUACGAGAGUUGAGGGAGGAGAGUUGAGGGAGGAGAGGUAGGAGAGGAGAGGGAUGAGAGGUAGGAGAGGAGAGGUAGGAGAGUUGAGGGAGGAGUGGUAGGAGAGAAAAGGUAGGAGAGGAGAGGGAUGAGAGGAGAGGUAGGAGAGUUGAGGGAGGAGAAGAGAGGCAGGAGAGUUGAGGGAGGAGAGGUAGGAGAGGAACAGUAGGAGAGGGAGAGGAGAGGUAGGAAAGGAGAGGUAGGAGAGGCAUGAGAGGAGUGGUAGGAGAGUUCAGGGAGUAGAGGAGAGGCAUGAGAGGAGAGGUAGAAGAGCUGAGGUAGGAGAGGAGAGGCAUGAGAGGAGUGGUAGGAGAGUUCAGGGAGUAGAGGAGAGGCAUGAGAGGAGAGGUAGAAGAGCUGAGGUAGGAGAGGAGAGGCAUGAGAGGAGAGGUAGGAGAGUUGAGGUAGGAGGGUUGAGGGAGGAGAUGCAUGAGAGGAAAGGCAUGAGAGGAGAGGUAGGAGAGUAGAGGAAGGAGAGGAGAGGGAGGAGGGUUGAGGGAGGAGAGGAAAGGGAGGAGAGGAAAGAGACUAGAGUUGAGGGAGGAGAGGUAGGAGAGGAAAGGUAGGAGAGGAGAGGGAGGAGGGUUGAGGGAGGAGAGGGAGGAGAGGAAAGGUAGGAGAGUUGAGGGAGGAGAGGUAGGAGAGGCAUGAGAGGAGAGGUAGGAGAGUUGAAGGAGGAGAGGAAAGGGAGAAGAGUUGAGGGAGGAGAGGGAGAUGUAGGGUAGGAGGGUUGAGGGAGGUAAGGUGGGAGAGGAAUGAGAGGAGAGGUAGGAGAGUUGAGGGAGGAGAGGAGAGGCAUGAGAGGGGAGGUAGGAGAGGGGAGAGGAGAGGUAGGAGGGUUGAUGGAAGAGAGUUGAGGGAGGAGAUGCAUGAGAGGAAAGGCAUGAGCAGGUCUCUCAGGGCUCAUGUCAGCUGGUCUGUCUUGUU
rnacentral:lncRNA from 1 species